GAUGAACGCUGGCGGCGUGCUUAACACAUGCAAGUCGAACGGUGAAGCUCCAGCUUGCUGGCGUGGAUCAGUGGCGAACGGGUGAGUAACACGUGAGCAACCUGCCCCUGACUCUGGGAUAUCAGCCGGAAACGGCUGCUAUUACCGGAUAUGCACCAUGAACGCUGGUUCUGUGGUGGUAAAGAUUUUUCGGUUGGGGAUUGGAUCGCGGCCUAUCAGCUUGUUGGUGAGGUAAUGGCUCACCAAGGCGUCGACGGGUAGCCGGCCUGAGAGGGUGACCGGCCACACUGGGACUGAGAGACGGCCCAGACUCCAAUGGGAGGCAGCGGUGGAGAAUAUUGCACAAUGGGCGAAAGCAUGAUGUAGCAACGCCGCGUGAGGGAAGACGGGCUUCGGGUUGUAAACCUCUUUUAGCAGGGAAGAAGCGAGAGUGACGGUACCUGCAGAAAAAGCGCCGGCUAACUACGUG
rnacentral:rRNA from 1 species